UGAAAAGGGGGUGAAAAAUAGUCGACGUCUUAUGCCAGGUCCUAGAAGAAUCUACUUUGAUAGAAUUUUCCGACGUGAAUAACUUUUCUCUCCAGUAGGGCUUCUGACAUUAAUAAGUGCCCCUCCCCCUCCCCAGACUCUUCUUUUGUGUUCCGGGUCGGCCUUGAAUGCCUUCCAGUGUAUCUGAAAUAACCUUGAAAACUAAUUUUCCUGCCCCAGUCUCCAGAGUGCCGAGAUUAUCAACAUGAUUGUUACCACAUUGUGGCAGAGAUAGACAGAGACAGACAGACAGCUGGCUGUUAGAGACCAGAAGAGGGUGUCAGAUACGCUGCAACAGGAGUUUUAGAUGGUUGUGAGCUGCCAUGUGGGUGCUGGGAAUGAACUCCAGAUGAUCUGCAAGGAAGCAAGUUCUCUUAACUGCUGAGCCAUCUCUCCUGUGAGCUUGAUGUAUACCUUUUCUGCCUACUGCCCUCUCUGCCUGGCGUCUCUUUGGGGGAAGGCUAGGUAGUUGUACUUCCCACUCUGCAGCACUCAGCCUCAUGGAUUGCUUCUUUCAGGCCCUUCGGGAGGACUGGAUUUGACAGGAAGCAGCGUCUAGAUUCACUCCUAGGUGUUAUUCAGUGUCACUCCCUGAUCUGCUCUUCACACCUGGGCCCAGAAAAGAAAUUCACAAAGUGCUAUAUAUGUUCAGCUAUAAACAUCUGAAAAAAAACCACAUCUUGUAUGUCUAUUUUUCCAUCUUUUCCUGGACCCUUGGGGCUCUCAGAGUCUGAAGCACCAAUCAAAGAACAUACACACACUAGACCUAGGCCCCAUCUGUAGCAGAUGCUUAGCUUGACCUUCAUAUGGGUCCUGAGCAACUGGAGUGCGGCUAUCCCAAAAGCUGUCGCCUAUACAUGGGAUAUGUUCUAAUAGUUGGACUGUCUGGAUUCUGUGGGAGAGGAAGUGCCUAGCUGUAUAGAGACUUGAAGUGCCAGGGGGAAAGAGGGUGGUGGUCAGGCGAGCCUCAUCUGCUCAGAGGAGGAGGGGAGGGAGCAAGAAGGACAGAUUGUGGGAAGGGGUGACCAGCAGGGGGCAGUGAGUAGGACGGAAAGUGAAUAGGUAAAAAAAAAAAAAAAUUAGUUUAAAAAGAUGGUAUAAGCAACAAACAAUCCAAAUUAAUAUACAAUUCCAUGUCCCAUAAAAAGGAAGAUGCAUUAAUCUGAAUAUAUAAAUAUUCAUAUUUGGGGUUUGCAGGUUUGUUCAAUGUAUUUGACAAAGCCAUAGACACAGAGUAAGGAAACAUCUUUUAGACUUCCAGUCUGAUCAUGGAAGUCACAGAUUCUACCCCCAUUCCUUUCCCUGAUCCAUCGCCUUAGACCAGAGAGUAAGCCGUACCCACAAAGAACCGCAUGCUCAGGGAGUCUCAAGGGCUCUUGGUUCUUCAACUCGUCAUUUAUGGUUAAGGACAUUUCUGAAAAUGGGGAGUCCCUUCAAAGUUUGGUUUAUAAGACUAUUUCUUAAGAUCUCACCUCAAUGCUGAAAUGACUCAAAAUAUACUUUCUUCACUUUAAUAAUUUCUGCUUAGUUUGAUUAUUAAAACCACCCUGUAGAAAAUGUACCUCUAUGCCCUGAUGUGUAUUUUUUAAAGUAAUACUUAAAAUGUUUAUGUUCUUUAAUUUCUACCAAAUUAUAUUUCCAAAGGUGUUCCAGGGGUCUCCCAAAUAAUGGAUCUUUUGGUUAAAUUAAUAAAUCCAUCUAAAAUUACACUUCUUAUUUCAGUUUAUUUUAGAAAACAGAACAGCACAGGCUGUGAUCCUGAUUGCCCAUCUUCUCCCACACACUCAUAAAUUGGUUUGGUGUUUAAUUUUUGAGCUAGGAAAGAAUAAUUCAUUUUUAUCUUCAUUUAAUUUUAAUAGUCAAGGAGUAGCCUAUAGAGAUGGAAUAAAUUUAAUCCUUCUGCAAUUAGUGUCAAAUUAAUUCACUGUGGACUCGACUAACUGAAGACAUACAGACCCUCCCACAGGCUGACAGACACCUUUAUCAGGUUUAAUGUUUUAUGUAAAUGACCCCACUUGAAAAGCUUGUUCUGUUUCUUCCCUCCUCCUUUCUAGUCCCUGCUAAUUGUUUUUAAAUAAACUUUCAGUAUUCUCUCAGGACUAGACUUGUUCAGUGGGUUCACUGUGGGAUCCCACAACAAUAAUGCCUUCUGCUGUUGGCUUGGCAUCUUUGAAUUGAGAAAUUCAAUUUCCUCAUUCUAAUAAAAGUUCCCAACCACAUAACUUUGGUGGGAUGCUCCAGUGAAGAUGAUAUGGUCAGGCCUCAUGAGGAUUGAAACGGCCAGGCUGUGCCCUGUGUGCAGUGAGCACAUCGGAUUAUUUCAGGCGGCCAUUUAUCUCGCACAGCACGGUCCAUCUGGAUCAUCCCUGAUUCGUUAUCCAGGGAUGACUUUUCUGAGCAGGAAUAUUUUUCUCUCCUAGGGAAAGGCCACAGUACAAAAGACUACCAAGAAGGCCAGUGUCCAAGAUGUUUCAAACAUCCUUCCUCUCUUCUAAAAUAAACAAUCAGGGUCUUAUGGCUAAUAUCUGUAUUUGUUUUACAAUUAGCCAGCUUGAUAUGUGAAGAACGUUAACAGUCAGCUAUAGCGUCCCUAAUUUCCAUCAGCUGUGUGUAAAUGCAUGCUGGUGGUCACUAACAAUGACGUGAGAUUUUUAAAAAGAUAACUUAGUUAUCUCUUGUCAGGUCACUAUUUAAUGUUGCUUUCUAUAUUUGCUGUGAUAAGCAUUUAAAUCUGUAUAUUGGUUGAUAAAUCAUUGUUUAGGAGCGCCUAAAGGGUUCAGUAAAUGGUAUGAAAUUGCCACAGUGUAAUAAAUGGUUAUUUGAUAAUGAAUGAAAUUGUUUGAAAAAACUGUUAAAAUGUCAAGUUUAAACAUAUAUAUCAUUACUCAAGAGGAAGGCAAACAUGGAAACCAGUGACAUCAUAAAUAUACUGCAAUAAAUGCAUUUAUUUAUACCAGGCCAGUUAUAGGUACUUUGUAUAAAUGUGUACAAAUUGAUAUAUGAAGUUAAUUUCAAUCUGUAAAAGUAAUUGCAUUGGUUUAACUUAUUUAACUCUCCUUACAAUAAUAUUUAUUGCAGCAAAAGAGGUAAAGAAAUAAAUGAUGAUAAAUAGAUAAAAUACAUAGGCAAUAGGAAUUGUUUUACAGUUUAAUUAUACUGUCACAUAAAAUUAUCACACAAAUACACUAACUCGACAGCAAAGAUACA